rnacentral:rRNA from 1 species
GACGAACGCUGGCGGCGUGCUUAACACAUGCAAGUCGAACGGAAAGGCCCUGCUUUUGUGGGGUGCUCGAGUGGCGAACGGGUGAGUAACACGUGAGUAACCUGCUCUUGACUUUGUGAUAACUUCAGGAAACUGGGGCUAAUACCGGAUAGGAGCUCCUGCUGCAUGGUGGGGGGUGGAAAGUUUCGGCGGUUGGGGAUGGACUCGCGGCUUAUCAGCUUGUUGGUGGGGUUGUGGCUUACCAAGGCUUUGACGGGUAGCCGGCCUGAGAGGGUGACCGGCCACAUUGGGACUGAGAUACGGCCCAGAGUCCUACGGGAGGCAGCAGUGGGGAAUAUUGCACAAUGGGCGGAAGCCUGAUGCAGCAACGCCGCGUGCGGGAUGACGGCCUUCGGGUUGUAAACCGCUUUCGCCUGUGACGAAGCGUGAGUGACGGUAAUGGGUAAAGAAGCACCGGCUAACUACGUG